rnacentral:rRNA from 1 species
ACUCCUACGGGAGGCAGCAGUGGGAAUAUUGCACAAUGGGCGAAAGCCUGAUGCAGCAACGCCGCGUGAGCGAUGAAGGCCUUCGGGUCGUAAAGCUCUGUCCUAUGGGAAGAUAAUGACGGUACCAUAGGAGGAAGCCCCGGCUAACUCCGUGCCAGCAGCUGCGGUAAUACGGGGGUGCAAGCGUUAAUCGGAGUUAUUGGGCGUAAAGGGUGCGUAGGUUAGUUAUUUAAGUCAUGUGGGAAAUACCUGGGCUCAACCUGGGAAUGACGGAUGAUACUGAAUGACUAGAGUAUAGUAGAGGGUAGUGGAAUUUCCGGUGUAGCGGUGAAAUGCGUAGAGAUCGGAAGGAACACCAGUGGCGAAGGCGGCUACCUGGACUAAUACUGACACUGAGGCACG